UUCCAGACUCCUACGGGAGGCAGCAGUGAGGAAUAUUGGUCAAUGGGCGCGAGCCUGAACCAGCCAAGUCGCGUGAGGGAAGACGGCCCUACGGGUUGUAAACCUCUUUUGUCAGGGAGCAAGGUGCAGGUCGGGACCUGCUGUGAGAGUACCUGAAGAAAAAGCAUCGGCUAACUCCGUGCCAGCAGCCGCGGUAAUACGGAGGAUGCGAGCGUUAUCCGGAUUUAUUGGGUUUAAAGGGUGCGCAGGCGGGGGCACAAGUCAGGGGUAAAAUCGCGGGGCUCAACCCCGCUCCGCCGUUGAAACUGUGUCCCUUGAGUGCGCGAAGGGUAGGCGGAAUGCGUGGUGUAGCGGUGAAAUGCAUAGAUAUCACGCAGAACCCCGAUUGCGAAGGCAGCAUACCGGCGCCCUACUGACGCUGAGGCACGAAAGUGCGGGUAUCGAACAGGAUUAGAUACCCUCGUA
rnacentral:rRNA from 1 species